rnacentral:rRNA from 1 species
CCUACGGGUGGCAGCAGUGAGGAAUAUUGGUCAAUGGGCGGGAGCCUGAACCAGCCAAGUCGCGUGAGGGAAGACGGUCCUAUGGAUUGUAAAUCUCUUUAGGCGGGGAGCAAUGCCGUGCACGUGUGCACGGAGGGAGAGUACCCGCAGAAUAAGCAUCGGCUAACUCCGUGCCAGCAGCCGCGGUAAUACGGAGGAGGCGAGCGUUAUCUGGAUUUAUUGGGUUUACAGGGUGCGUAGGCGGAUUUUUAGGUCAGCGGUAAAAUGUCCGGGCUAAACCGGGGCGGGCCUUUGAAACUGGGGAGCUAGAGUGGGCUAGAAAGGGGCAGAAUGCGAGGUGUAGCGGUGAAAUGCAUAGAGA